rnacentral:rRNA from 1 species
AUUACCGAGUUUACAACUCCCAAACCCAAUGUGAACGUUACCAAACUGUUGCCUCGGCGGGGACACAUGCCCCGGGCGCGUCGCAGCCCCGGACCAAGGCGCCCGCCGGAGGACCAACCAAAAACUCUUUUUGUAUGCCCCUCGCGGGUUUUUCUUACUAUCUGAGCCUUUCUCGGCGCCCCUUCGUGGGCGUUCCGAAAAUGAAUCAAAACUUUCAACAACGGAUCUCUUGGUUCUGGCAUCGAUGAAGAACGCAGCGAAAUGCGAUAAGUAAUGUGAAUUGCAGAAUUCAGUGAAUCAUCGAAUCUUUGAACGCACAUUGCGCCCGCCAGUAUUCUGGCGGGCAUGCCUGUCCGAGCGUCAUUUCAACCCUCGAACCCCUCCGGGGGGUCGGCGUUGGGGACCGGCCUCCCUCACCGGGGGCCGCCCCCGAAAUACAGUGGCGGUCUCGCCGCAGCCUCUCCUGCGCAGUAGUUUGCACACUCGCAACGGGAGCGCGGCGCGUCCAAUGCGCGUAAAACACCCCAAACUUCUGGAAUG